rnacentral:lncRNA from 1 species
CUCAUAAGUAGAAAAAUCGCUAAAGGUCCACAUCAUUAUGAAAUUCUUCUUCUUCAAUAUAUCAAAAGUAUGUGUGCCAUCGGACCAUAAAAAUUUUAGCUCAUUAAUAAGAGGCCUUAGAUAUAUAUAUAUAUCAAUGCCUCUACCAGGGUAUCCUGGUCCAGGAAUAACUAAUGUAAAAAAGAUGUGAUGUUCUUUCAUGCA